rnacentral:rRNA from 1 species
CGUGCAGGCGGUUUGGUAAGUUGGAUGUGAAAGCUCCCGGCUCAACUGGGAGAGGUCGUUCAAUACUGCCAGACUCGAGGAUGGUAGAGGGAGGUGGAAUUCCCGGUGUAGUGGUGAAAUGCGUAGAUAUCGGGAGGAACACCAGUGGCGAAGGCGGCCUCCUGGACCAUACCUGACGCUAAGACGCGAAAGCUAGGGGAGCGAACG